CCCGGGCUCGCGCGCGUUGCCAAGCGGCCGUUUCCGUAGCAACCCCGCCCGGGGAUGGAGGACCAGGCAGGGAGGGGGGCCGGGAAGCAAAAGAGAUAGAUCAAAAAGAGGGAAAGAGAGGGACAGUGAAGCUAGGGGCGAUGGGGGCUAAGCCGAGGUCUGGUCCGGCUUGGCAGCACCAGCGAGAGAGCUGUGCGAGCUGCUUGGCUGGGAAGUCAGGGCAAGGGGGCCCGGCCUGCUCUCCGGUGCGUUCAGCUCCGGGGCCUCCCAGGGCCCCAGACUUUAAAGUGCUCAAGUUGGGGUCGGCGCCAUCAUGACGCCCGAGACUGUGAGGCCCCGCGGCAGAGCGCGCUGAAGCAAUGAUCUCUGCAGGGGUCAGCAUCCGGCUUCCUCCCCAAGCUGAGCUCUUGACGAGGCAGGGAGGGAGUUGUAGUUGUCGUUGGUACCCAGGGCAGCUUUUUAAUUUUUAUUUUUAUUUAUCACCAUGUCUAAGGAUAGAUGGGAUAGGGUCAGCAAUUCCCACCGCCCGAGAUUAUCCAGACUGACUUAUCCCUAAGCCUCAAAGCAACAUCACCUCCCUGUGGAAGAUUCCCUGCGAGGCUCAGCAAUUAACCGCGGGGUUUGCAGCAGGAACUACUGAGGUGAUUAGUAUUCAGGCUUAAUUCUCAGAACCCCGCUCGGGAAUUCAAAGUGCGGUAGUAUUCAGCCGCAUUUCGAAACAUCAAUAAAAUGUUAGUCAUUUGCGGAUGAA